GGAGGGUGCAAGCGUUAUUCGGAAUCACUGGGCGUAAAGAGCGCGUAGGCGGUUUCUAAAGUCAGAUGUGAAAGCCCGGGGCUCAACCCCGGAAGUGCAUUUGAAACUUAGGGACUUGAGUAUGGGAGAGGGAAGUGGAAUUCCUGGUGUAGCGGUGAAAUGCGUAGAUAUCAGGAGGAACACCGGUGGCGAAGGCGACUUCCUGGACCAAUACUGACGCUGAGGCGCGAAGGCGUGGGGAGCAAACAGGAUUAGAUACCCUGGUAGUCCACGCAGUAAACGUUGAACACUAGGUGUAGCGGGUAUUGACCCCUGCUGUGCCGCAGCUAACGCAUUAAGUGUUCCGCCUGGGGAGUACGGCCGCAAGGCUA
rnacentral:rRNA from 1 species